AUACCACCUGUCAUGGUGGUCAACCACCAUUCGCAUUUUUCGGCGCUAUACUGCUCGCUGGAUGGAAUCCUCCAUCCAUAUAUCAUUUCCGGCCGUCAACGAGAGCAAGCGCUCCGGAUCCGCUCCAUAUCUCUCUCUGGCCGUCCACCAGAAAGCUCGUGGAUCUCAGAAGCUUGCCGGUCGACGAGCAGGCCGGCCGGUUGCUCCCCGGCCAGGUCCGCUCCAAAGCUUCUUUCCCUGCAAUCAGCAGGUCAUCGAUCGACCUCUUGGACCGCAGGGAGUACUGGAAAAUGGGGAAGAGAUUGCUCUCAAAAAGCUACAUCACAUGCCUGGGCUUGACGACACACAAUUUAGGAAUGAGUUUAAUCACCUUAUGAGGGCCCAGCAUCCAAAUAUUACCCAAUUGGUUGGCUACUGCUAUAAUCUAGGUCAUCAGCGCAUUAAGUACGGUGGUGAAUAUAUUUUCGCCCUUGUGGAAGAAAGAGUACUCUGCUUUGAAUACUUGCAAGGUGGAAGCCUUGACAAUCAUAUUUCUGAUGAGUCGUGUGGACUCGAUUGGCCCACACGUUUCAAAAUUAUCAAGGGAGUCUGUGAGGGAUUAAAUUACCUACAUAAUGGAUGCAAAGAUCCAAUUUACCAUCUUGACUUGAAACCUGCGAAUGUUUUACUGGACAAGAACAUGUUCCCGAAAAUUGGAGACUUUGGUUUGUCAAGACUCUUUCCUUUAUCACAAACCUAUAUAACAAGCAAAAUUUUAGGAACACCUGGAUACAUGCCACCAGAAUACAUUGAGAGACGCGAAAUCACAUCGAAGUAUGAUGUAUUCAGUUUGGGUGUUAUAAUUGUGCGGAUAAUAGCAGGAGAUGAGGGCUACUCCAAAUGUGCAUAUAUGUCUUUGGAAGAUUUUCUUGAGCAUGUACAUGGAAACUGGGGAAAACGGCUGAAGGAAACAAUGGCGUUGCAUACAUCAGAGCAAGUUAAGACGUGCAUUGAAAUAGCGUUAAGGUGUAUGGAGGUUGAUCGUGAGAAAAGGCCUACUAUAGCAGAGAUUGUCGAUGAACUAAACUUGGUUGAUACUGCAGAAAGUUUGCCUACAGGCCAGGUCGCCAACUUCCGAAGCAAGCAAAACUCAAACUCAGAGCGCCGAGGCAGAAUCGUAUUCUCUGCCACCUACAGGCCCCCGGUGCCAUUCGACAUCUUCUCCUGCCCUGUCUCACCUUGGUCCACAGAUGAUGAGCUCCACCUCACCGAUGGCGUGUCUGACAACUACAACGGGAGCCCCAUCCCUCCCGCCGCGCUGAAGACCCUCCUCAAGAGCCCGAAGCUGGCAAACGAGGUUGAUGUUACCGACGCGGAUGUCGACACCGGCGACGUCUCUGGCCUGGUCUUCGUCUCCGAGAGGGACAAUGGCCUUGAGACGCUCUACAUUGCCAUAUGCUUUAAUGCUGAUAACAAGGUCAAGGUAUUCUCUCUUGCUGACAUCUUUGGAGCCGCCGACUUCAGCAGCAUGCGCCUGGAGGACAGUGGCUGCAUCGGCGGCGGCUACCGCGUGGGAUCUCACAGCGUCGACCACUAUCUCAUCUUCGUCUCCACAAAGGAGCCUGUGCAUGCACGUCGUGGCCCUUGGACCAUCGUGUACAAAACCAACCUUACAACAGGCAUGACGGAGCGCCUCACGCCACAAGGGAUAUUUGAUUUGAGUCCGGCCGUUUCGCCCUCGGGGAAGACGGUAGCAGUGGCGUCAUUUCAGAGCAAGAGUUGGAACGGCGACAUUGAGAACCUGAAGACUGACAUCUACGUGAUGAACUUGGAUAGCGACCAGUGUCAGGGCCAGGGGCGCAAGCUAAUCAUCAAGAAUGGCGGCUGGCCAUCCUGGGGCAGCGACGACAUCAUCUUCUUUCAUCGACUCACCAGUAUGGCCCUUCUAUCGAGCCUGAUUGAAACAUUUUGGGCUGUGUUCCGGUACGACAUCAACACCGAGGAGACCGUCCAGGUUACUCCGGGAGGAUUGGAUGCGGUGACUCCUGCGGCCAUAAGCGAGACCAAAGUAGCGGUGGCGACCAUCCGCCAAGAGCACAAGUCCAGCAACGUCCGUGUGCAGGCACAGUACCGGCACAUUGAGAUCUUUGAGAUGGAUGUGCCGGGGCUGCCACCGGUGCAGAUCACCCGUAAGAUGAGGCAAAAAGGCGAUCACUACAACUCUUUUGUGCUGGAUGGUGGGGGCCGCAUUGGAUACCACCGCUGCAGGAGUGAGAGUGACCUUGUGCAGAAUGGAGACGACGUCCCUCAGAACUUGCACAGGCUAGAGUCCCCCAUGAGGGACGUCGGUUUACUUCGGGUAUCUGGCAUGUUCCCGACCAUUUCGAAGGACGGCUCCAAGCUCGCCUUUGUUAACAGUGAGUUCAAAGCAGUGUUUGUAGUGGACAGCCAAGGGCUGCGUAUCAUAUACGAGGAAAGGAGCCGAAACUGCGUCUUCUCCCCUGUGUGGAACCAGAACCUCGACAAGGACAUCCUCUAUGUGUGCAUAGGCACCACCUUGAACUCUCACCGACUUGAGAUCUUCGCCAUCUGCAAUGCCUCUGGCCCUGCAACAGGGCAAAAUGUCGUAAGACUCACCAUUGGUGGGUACAACAACGCAUACCCGUCGAGCAACCCAGAUGGCGACAAAUUUGUCUUCAGGUCAACAAGGGAUGGAUUGGCGCCGCACAAGAACCUGUACAUAAUGUUGCACAGUGAUAACGAGCAAUUUGGGGAACAUUCGAAGAAGUGGCACAGACAUAAUGAAGAAUUCGAGGAACCUUGGCAGACGCGGCUGACGAAAGGGAAGUGGACAGAUACCCAUUGCCAGUGGUCCCCAAACGGGGACUGGAUCGUCUUCUCAUCGACGCGCGACAACCGGCUGGACCCGAGGCACUUCUCCGUAUACCUGGUGAAGGCGUUCGACCCGACGGUGUUGAUCAGGGUGACGAGCAGUGGGGGUGAUUUCGGCGGUCAAAUAAACCACCCAGUGUUCAGCCUGGACGGGAGGAGCAUAGCCGUGACAGUGCAUCUCGUGGCGGCUUCCGUGGACCCGGUCUCACUGCCGAACUUCAAGCAUGGAGUGCGGCGCUAUAGCGACAUCUUCGCUGUGGACGUCCACCCAGACGACGAGGAGAAGAAAAUGAAGAUAAACGUGAAGUUGAAGUUGAAGAACAAGACGGAGAAGGAAAAGUUGAUGGGAUUCCGCUUCCGCCGGAUCACGCACAGCAGGUACGAGUGCGGGACGCCAGCCUGGACGAUGGCCUUCGCCGCGACGGACACAAACGCGCUGUGGAAUAUGUUGCCAGACAUGGAGCAUAUGUACGCACUGGGUGUCUGUACUAGAUCCGCAAGCCCUUGACAAUCAAUUGUUGACUCAGUAGCUACGUAAAAGCCGAUGUCGAACAACAAGGGUGAUGCAGGACAUUGGGAAUCAAAGCUUCUUGCAAGCUGGUUCGAGAAUCAGCCCUUUCUGGAUUCUGGAAGCAAAACUUCCAUUUCAUAUGUGACUGUCAAUGAGCAUCGUUGUAAUGUUGCUGUUGCUGCUGCUGCUGCUGCUUGGGAUGGGGAGAAUCUAAUGUAAAGAUUCUAAAUCCGUGUAUAAUCUGUGGACUUACUGAACUAGUUCAGUUAAUUAGUACUGUUGUUCUUUCUAGUGCUGAAGAUCGCCCAAUUUGGAUGUUCCAUCCUUAAGGGCAAAAGUUGGCUAGGCAUAACAAUGCUGUCAUUGCUGUGGCACAAGAUGGUGGCAAACGUUGGAAGAUGGCAGGAUAUUCACUCGAGGCUGCUCCAUCGCGCUGUCCUGAGGAUUGCCUGGAAUCUGGAGAUGAAGUGGAUCAGGUUGGUAUCUUGUGUUCGACACCAAAAGCUGCAUCGGCUAACGGCUCAGCGAGCUCCCCAAGCGAUAGGCGAUGCUUGAUUUUCAUUUUCCGGUCUUUUCCUUGUCCCUGUGCUGAGCUAUUCUGGGUUCACACUUUUGGUUGAGUGAUGCGGCUCUCUAAUCCUUAACUGUUCCUAGAUGAUGUUGCUGGCUGCAUGAGAAAUGGAACCAGUGGGGAAACCCCUAAUUUUCUGUAAAAAAAAAGUUACUACAUCCGCCCCCUCUGUUUACAUAAUCACUAGUAAGAGAUUGAUAUGUCUAACAUUUUUUAUUC